AACGAACGCUGGCGGCAGGCUUAACACAUGCAAGUCGAGCGCCUCGCAAGAGGAGCGGCAGACGGGUGAGUAACGCGUGGGAACCUACCUAUUGGUACGGAACAACCCAGGGAAACUUGAGCUAAUACCGCAUGUGUCCUUCGGGAGAAAGAUUUAUCGCCAAUAGAUGGGCCCGCGUCGGAUUAGCUAGUUGGUGGGGUAAUGGCCUACCAAGGCGACGAUCCGUAGCUGGUCUGAGAGGAUGAUCAGCCACACUGGGACUGAGACACGGCCCAGACUCCUACGGGAGGCAGCAGUGGGGAAUAUUGGACAAUGGGCGCAAGCCUGAUCCAGCCAUGCCGCGUGAGUGAUGAAGGCCUUAGGGUUGUAAAGCUCUUUCAGCUGGGAAGAUAAUGACGGUACCAGCAGAAGAAGCCCCGGCUAACUUCGUGCCAGCCGCCGCCGUAAAAC
rnacentral:rRNA from 1 species